AGCGAACGUUAGCGGCGCGCCUAACACAUGCAAGUCGCACGAGAAAGGGAGCAAUCCCCGGUACAGUGGCGCACGGGUGAGUAACACGUAGAUGACCUUCCCUGGAGUGGUGGAUAACCUGCCGAAAGGCGGGCUAAUACAGCAUGGGGACCACAUGGUUUUGACCGAGUGGUGAAAGCGGGCCUCUGUUCACAAGCUCGCGCUCUGGGAUGGGUCUGCGUCCCAUCAGCUAGUUGGUGAGGUAAUGGCUCACCAAGGCAUCGACGGGUAGCUGGUCUGAGAGGAUGACCAGCCACACUGGAACUGAGACACGGUCCAGACUCCUACGGGAGGCAGCAGUGGGGAAUCUUGCGCAAUGGGCGAAAGCCUGACGCAGCGACGCCGCGUGGGUGAUGAAGGCC
rnacentral:rRNA from 1 species